rnacentral:rRNA from 1 species
GGAUGUUGAAUGUCUGGUUCCUUUUCUUUUGGAAAGGUCAACUAUAGAUGUUUGUAUCCAUUUUUUGUGAGGAUGUUUUUCUGCCAUUAAGUUGGUGGUUGAAUGGACUUGCAUCGUUUACUGUGAAAAAAUUAGAGUGUUUAAAGCAGGCGUUUUGCUGAUUUGAAUACAUUAGCAUGGAAUAAUAAGAUACGACCUUGGUGGUCUAUUUUGUUGGUUUGCACACCAGGGUA